GUCACGCCUAAACGAUGUCGACUAGUUGUCGGGCCUUUACAGGUUCGGUAACGCAGCUAACGCGUGAAGUCGACCGCCUGGGGAGUACGUCGCAAGAUUAAACUCAAGGAAUUGACGGGACCCGCACAAGCGGUGGAUGAUGUGGAUUAAUUCGAUGCAACGCGAAAACCUUACCUACCCUUGACAUGCCCGGAAUCUCGCAGAGAUGUGAGAGUGCCCGAAAGGGAGCCGGGACACAGGUGCUGCAUGGCUGUCGU
rnacentral:rRNA from 1 species